GAAUGAAAAUGAAAAUUUUAAAGUCCUGAAUUUAUUACCACGUCGGGGUAGAUCAAGAAAGUUCGAAAAUAUUUUAUUGACACCACUGUAUAAAAAUAUCAGACAAAUUACAACUGCAAAAUUCAAGGACAUAAUUGACCUAUUACGAUAUAUAUCACCGGAACAUCAUGAUUUCUUCAAAUCCCUUUCACACACACAAAAUCUAGAUGAGUAGUAAAUUGUUUUGUAAUAAAUUUAUGUUUGUAAUUUUCAAAAUCGGUUAA